rnacentral:tRNA from 1 species
GGGGUGUUAGCUCAUUUGGUAGAGCGCUUGAUUCGCAUUCAAGAGGCGGAGAGAUCGAAGCCCUCACACUCCA